AUAAUAAUUAGAUAUAUCACAAAUUUUAAAAAAUUGUAGUGUACAUAUCAAAUUUCUAGUUAAAUUUAGGGCAUACAAUCCAAUUAUUCUACAAAUAAUAUGUAAAAAGUGAUUUUAUAAAGAAAAAUUGAAAAUUACUUGUUAAGGAGCAUUAUAACAGCAAGAGGAGGAAAUGUUUAGAGUGACAUUUCUUCAGAUGGCUCAGAUACUCGGACACAGGUACUGGUGACUCCUGCUUGGCUAACGACAAAGAUGUGCUAAGUGAUUGAACAUCAUUUUGUUUUUAGAAAAUUCUAGUAGAUAUUGCUUUGUAAAUGAUAAUUUUUAUGAUGGGAUCAAUGUGCUAUAGAGAAAACAAAAUGUUAGGUAUAUUCUUUUGUUGAAGAUUUAUUCCAAAUAUAAUAAGUUUGCAAAAUAUUCUAAGAAUUAUUCAUAUUUCUCAUUUUCAAACAAAAAAAUCAGAGAAAAUCUUACAAUUUUCUAAUUUUUCUGCAAACAAUUAUUCUUAUCCUAUACUAUUAUUUGGGAAGUACAUAAUAAAAACUAACCUUAUUUUUUGUAAGUAAUUACAUAGGUAUGCCAUUAGAAAUAGAAUUUCAAAGAUUAAAUUAAUUCAUCUCUUUAAGGAUUAAAAAGUCAAAUACUAAUUUAAUUUAAUAAGAAAGACGAAAUACAUUAUUAAUUUCCAAAACUAUACAAUCAAAAUCAACAUAUAAGAUUUGAUAUAUAAAUUUUAAUU
rnacentral:sRNA from 1 species